GAAACGAUAGCUAAUACCGCAUAACAGUAGAUAUCGCAUGAUAUUUGCUUGAAAGGUGCAAUUGCACCACUACCAGAUGGACCUGCGUUGUAUUAGCUAGUAGGUGAGGUAACGGCUCACCAAGGCAACGAUACAUAGCCGACCUGAGAGGGUGAUCGGCCACACUGGGACUGAGACACGGCCCAG
rnacentral:rRNA from 1 species